AGUGGGGAAUUUUCCGCAAUGGGCGCAAGCCUGACGGAGCAAGACCGCGUGGGGGAGGAAGGCUCUUGGGUUGUAAACCCCUUUUCUCAAGGAAGAAGUUCUGACGGUACUUGAGGAAUCAGCCUCGGCUAACUCCGUGCCAGCAGCCGCGGUAAUACGGAGGAGGCAAGCGUUAUCCGGAAUGAUUGGGCGUAAAGCGUCCGCAGGUGGCCGUUCAAGUCUGCUGUCAAAACCAGGGGCUCAACUCCUGACCGGCAGUGGAAACUGAGCAGCUAGAGUGCGGUAGGGGCAGAGGGAAUUCCCGGUGUAGCGGUGAAAUGCGUAGAGAUCGGGAAGAACACCGGUGGCGAAAGCGCUCUGCUGGGCCGCAACUGACACUCAGGGACGAAAGCUAGGGGAGCGAAUGGGAUUAGAUACCCCAGUAGUCCUAGCCGUAAACGAUGGAGACUAGGUGUUGCCUGUAUCGACCCGGGCAGUGCCGAAGCUAACGCGUUAAGUCUCCCGCCUGGGGAGUACGCACGCAAGUGUG
rnacentral:rRNA from 1 species